GAAUUCACUAGUGAUUCAGGCCUAACACAUGCAAGUCGAGCGGUAGAGAGAAGCUUGCUUCUCUUGAGAGCGGCGGACGGGUGAGUAAUGCCUAGGAAUCUGCCUGGUAGUGGGGGAUAACGUUCGGAAACGGACGCUAAUACCGCAUACGUCCUACGGGAGAAAGCAGGGGACCUUCGGGCCUUGCGCUAUCAGAUGAGCCUAGGUCGGAUUAGCUAGUUGGUGAGGUAAUGGCUCACCAAGGCGACGAUCCGUAACUGGUCUGAGAGGAUGAUCAGUCACACUGGAACUGAGACACGGUCCAGACUCCUACGGGAGGCAGCAGUGGGGAAUAUUGGACAAUGGGCGAAAGCCUGAUCCAUCAAGGGCGCGUGUGUGAAGAAGGUCUUCGGAUG
rnacentral:rRNA from 1 species